UAUACAGCGAAACUGCGAAUGGCUCAUUAUAUAAGUUAUCGUUUAUUUGAUAGUACCUUACUACUUGGAUAACCGUGGUAAUUCUAGAGCUAAUACAUGCUGAAAAUCCCGACUUCGGAAGGGAUGUAUUUAUUAGAUUCAAAACCAAUGCCCUCUGGGCUCACUGGUGAUUCAUGAUAACUCCUCGAAUCGCACGGCCUUGCGCCGGCGAUGGUUCAUUCAAAUUUCUUCCCUAUCAACUUUCGAUGUUUGGGUAGUGGCCAAACAUGGUUGCAACGGGUAACGGAGGGUUAGGGCUCGACCCCGGAGAAGGAGCCUGAGAAACGGCUACUACAUCCAAGGAAGGCAGCAGGCGCGCAAAUUACCCAAUCCCGACACGGGGAGGUAGUGACAAUAAAUACUGAUACAGGGCUCUUUUGGGUCUUGUAAUUGGAAUGAGUACAAUUUAAAUCCCUUAACGAGGAACAAUUGGAGGGCAAGUCUGGUGCCAGCAGCCGCGGUAAUUCCAGCUCCAAUAGCGUAUAUUAAAGUUGUUGUGGUUAAAAAGCUCGUAGUUGAACCUUGGGCCUGGCUGGCCGGUCCGCCUCACCGCGUGUACUGGUCCGGCCGGGCCUUUCCCUCUGUGGAACCCCAUGCCCUUCACUGGGCGUGGCGGGGAAACAGGACUUUUACUUUGAAAAAAUUAGAGUGCUCCAGGCAGGCCUAUGCUCGAAUACAUUAGCAUGGAAUAAUGAAAUAGGACGCGCGGUUCUAUUUUGUUGGUUUCUAGGACCGCCGUAAUGAUUAAUAGGGACAGUCGGGGGCAUCAGUAUUCAAUAGUCAGAGGUGAAAUUCUUGGAUCUAUUGAAGACUAACUACUGCGAAAGCAUUUGUCAAGGAUGUUUUCAUUAAUCAGGAACGAAAGUUAGGGGAUCGAAGACGAUCAGAUACCGUCGUAGUCUUAACCAUAAACUAUGCCGACUAGGGAUCGGACGAUGUUAUUUUUUGACUCGUUCGGCACCUUACGAGAAAUCAAAGUGCUUGGGCUCCA
rnacentral:rRNA from 1 species